AAACCUUGAAUGCUUAUUGCACCACAUGUGUUUUUCUUUGAAACAAACUUGCUUUGGCGGUGGGCCCAGCCUGCCGCCAGAGGUCUAAACUUACAACCAAUUUUUUAUCAACUUGUCACACCAGAUUAUUACUAAUAGUCAAAACUUUCAACAACGGAUCUCUUGGUUCUCGCAUCGAUGAAGAACGCAGCGAAAUGCGAUACGUAAUAUGAAUUGCAGAUAUUCGUGAAUCAUCGAAUCUUUGAACGCACAUUGCGCCCUCUGGUAUUCCGGAGGGCAUGCCUGUUUGAGCGUCGUUUCUCCCUCAAACCGCUGGGUUUGGUGUUGAGCAAUACGACUUGGGUUUGCUUGAAAGACGGUAGUGGUAAGGCGGGAUCGCUUUGACAAUGGCUUAGGUCUAACCAAAAACAUUGCUUGCGGCGGUAACGUCUACCACGUAUAUCUUCAAACUUUGACCUCAAAUCAGGUAGGACUACCCGCUGAACUUAAGCAUAUCAAAAGCCGGGAGGAA
rnacentral:rRNA from 1 species